CCUGGUCCUUAUCGAAGCUGCUACAGUUCUUGCUAUAGCUGUUGCAAUCAAAAAGGAGUCCAGAGUGACAGUUUCCUGAUGGUCGUUGUUCUAUUUAACACUGUAAUAGGACAGCGACAUUGUGGGAAAAGACACAA